UUGAAUACUAUUUUUUAGUAUAGGAUUGUAAAUCUUAUUUAGAAUUUAAAUUCUC
rnacentral:tRNA from 1 species